rnacentral:lncRNA from 1 species
UCAUCCAUGGCUGCUUCUGCCGCUGCUAUCCGAUAAUCCGUCUACGGCGCUGGGUGCAACGAGCGUACGCGCAGGGCGCGCGCGUGCAGCCUGGUGAGCGUGUGUCGGAACCUGGAGAGGUCGAGGGUGACGUUCUGGCCGCCGAGGUAGACGCGGGCGACGAAGCCCCACCCCUUGUCGCGCUUGGCGGCCUCCGGGUCGGACACCACCACGUCGCGGAGGCCGUACUUGCGGCUCAGCGAGCUCUCGUGCCCCUCCGCGUCGUACUGCUCGUAGUGCAGCCCCAUCCGCGCGGACGCCUCCGCGUAGCACCCGCGCGCGAUCGGCGCCACGCCCAGCGGCGCGAUCUGCACCAGCGCCGCGCCGGGGCGCAGGAACAGGAGCUUGGUCAGGUCGGCGCCGUGCACCCCCACCAGCACGUCGCACGCGCUCACCGACGCGUACGACGCCGGGAGCGGCAGCCCGUUCGCCGUCUCCAGGAUGUCCACGUCGAACCCCACCGACCUCGCGAGCCGCGCCACCGCCGCCUGGUUCUCGAUCACCCGCGUCCCCCUGCGCGACACGAUCCCGAGCCGUGGCCGCCGUGGCGCCGGCUGAGUAACGUCGUCGACGACGACGGUGUCUCCUGCGGUCUCGUACACGCCGGCGAGGAGAUCGUGGAAGUCGACGAUGGUCUUGUUGUCGCGGAGCCUCGCCGGGUCGACGGAGAGGAUGCCGUGGAAGCGUGUGCCGACGAUGGCGCCGGGGAAGCAGUGCGUCCGCUUGUCGUGGAGGAGGUCGACGACGUGGUAGUCCGAGAGGCCGGAGAUGAUCUCGCCGUACGUGCCCGCCCACCACGGGUUGUACGAGAGGACGCCGAGCACGACGCGGCGGCGGAGGUGUUGCACCGUCAGCCACGCCGGCACGAACCCGUCGCUGAACGCGUGGAAGAGGUUGCCGGUGUAGCCCCCCGCCGUCAUGACGAGGAGCGGCGCGUCGUGCCGGACGUCGCACCGGUGGCCGGGCUCCUCCUCCGGCGGGGCCAUCCGGAGCCGCACCUCCUCUACCCUGCUCAUGAUGAGCGCCUCCCACUUGCGCGUGUACGGACGUAUCCUCUCCUCCACGGUGGCGUUCGCCGCCGGCGGCUGCUUCGGGAACAGCAGGAGCGACAGGGACGACGGGUCCGUCCGCACGUCGCCGGCCAUGAAGCAGACGUCGGUGUUGAAAUCCGAGCGGUCGCAGCAGAUGGUGUCGCCGGCGAGCGACGAGCACGGCGAGCGCAGCUGGUUGUCAAGAACCACCACUUCGCCAGCAUUAUGAUCUCCCACGACGCGGGCGGGCGAGGUGGUGACGUUGGGCGGCGGCUGGGGGAAGAAGUCGAGGCCAUAGGUGGGCGUGAGCACGAUGAACCGCGGGGCGUAGAGGAGCACGCAGAGGACGACGGAGAGGACGAAGAAGAACUGGACGAACCCCGGCCACUUCUUGCCGCCGCCGUCCUCCACGCCGCCGCCGCCGAGGUCGGGGAGUUUGGAGGCCAUGUCUCGCGUUGGCGAGAUGGACGGACUUGGCGUGUGGGGGAAAAAUGGAAAGGAAUCGCGUAUACUACCUGGCACGGCGGCGUCUCGAUCGAUCGUGUGGAUAUUUAAAGAGAGGCUCGGCGGCUGAGUCGUCUCACUGGUCGGCGCGGUCACUGGUGGUGAUUGGUGAAUGGUGGUGAUACUACAGAUUGAUUGGAUAAAUUCUAGUUCUAUCUCGCUGGCAAGACCGAGACGGCGUCCGUUUCUGGUUCCUGUCCAAUCGUUCGGCACCUGCACCUAUCUACCUGGAACUCAUCGCCCCAUAGAGUGACACGUGUACAUUUUGUACGUGUAAUCAUUUUUUUUCCGUCUCGUCAUGAGAUAUAGGACAUCCUAAUAUGUCGAAUUGAAUAUAGAAGUAUAUGCUUAAAUUUAUAGGACGGUACCAAAUUACUAUAUUUUAGGAUGGAUGUAGUAACAAGAAAGCUUUUUUAUUUUUAGCGUGAAUUCUAACAAACAAGAUGAAUUACAUCCUCGUCCGUUGUAGAACUCAGGAGUUAGGACAGUGUCCAGUACUAGAACUAGAUGUUUGUAAUCAAGUUGUAAAUUAGGGACUAUGUCAAGUACUAUAUGCAUGUAGAAAAGGUCGUCUAAUUCCUAACUAGCUUGGUAUAUACGUACGUACAGGUAGACGAUGGAUGGAUCGAUCGGUUUGCGCCAUUUUCACUCACAGCGCGAUCGCCGGUUUCAAGGUGUGAAACGUAACAUUUUUGGUCGAUGCUGGUUUCUUCCUGCAAUAUAUGUUAUGUGCUGUCGCUGUAUGCCUGUGUAUACUACAUACUAAUUUAGUGUGGUCAGUUUCUGUAACCGUAACUACUGCAUGUUAAGAUAGCAGAGAUACGUGUUGACUAAUCUAAUGGUGUGGUUUUGGUAUAUGACAAAGGCUAGCUAAAACAGGCGGCAAUUAAUUAAUAAGAGUCUUACGCAUGCAUGUUCUUCCUCAAAUGACACAUGAUGAUAUGCAUCAUAUAUUCAUAUUCUUUCUCGAAUGACAUCCUUGCAUGGAAUGGAAUAAGUGUAAAAAAAAUGAAUACAUAUAGUGCAUUAGUACUCGUCAGAGGAAUAAUGGUAGGUGCUUGGUCGCUCUCUCUGUUAUCAAACCCAUCCUCUGUCCAUGUUGCAGGUUCCUUUCAUCAAUUUGUACUCCUCUUAACUGUCUUGCCGUCAUUGACCAAAUGACAGGGCAUUCUAGCUAGCUAAAUGAUCAGGUUUUCCUAUAUGUACUCCUACUAAUCUGUGAUACAGAAAUCUGUACCCAUUUGGACCUGGUCAUUAAGCCAAAUUAAUAUUGACAGUCGUUGCUUCGUCCAGUCCAAAACUCCCACACGCGAACGAUUGAUUGAUCAUCGGUGAAAUUAGCAAGGUCGCACAUGGCUGCACCGAAAACGGUCGUUGAAGCCAAAAAUCUGAAUGCCUAGGAUGAAGCAAAUUAAAGCUAGCCACCGAUCGAACAGAUAUGAUCAUCAACCAGCUCACGACGUCAUGACGCAUCCCGAACUCUGAAAAACGGCUGCACCCGCUGCUAUCGCGGCCAGCUUGACAGCUAGCUCAGCUAUAGCUGCGUCGAUCGCUUCAGCUUGUGAUCAGUAGCCGGCGAUCGCGACCGGUUUGUUGGUGGAUGGAACAGGGGAAACGAUUACACCGAAUCCAGCCAAAGCCAUGAAAACUUCUUUUUGUCGAGAUUGACAAGCACGAAUCCGUGAAGUGACUUGAGACUCCUUAACUAUUCUAACGAGAUUUCUCAACUAUGUCACGCUUUUUGGAUAGAUAGAUUAGUUUAUGCACGAGCUGCCAACCAUAUACGCAGUUCAGGAUAAUGUUAUUAACAAUGAUUAAAGACACGGGAGUAGAGAAAGAUCUGAAGUGCAGGCUUCUUACUGAAAGAAUUUCAGAAGUACACGGUUCCAUACUUUCCGUGUGUAUAUAAUAUGUAUACAUCCGAUGUCGCGAUGUAUAAGCAGAACAAAAAUGAUAUUAUUGUAAAGCAGCAUCAAUAGUAGAGCUCCUAUCAUUAUCACUAUUAUUUUGGGGGCAUAUAUAAAUGUCGUGUUCUCUGAAUAACAAUCCCAUCUGCUUUGCACCAGCACAUGAGAGUUCAGGGAAACGUCGCACCAACCUAAUUAAGCUAGAAUCUUCUCUGUAGUCAACACGUAUGGCUGCACAAAGAGCACACGGCUCUAAAACCAGCAGCCCAUAGUGUUGAUUAAGCAUGCCACGGUCCCACCGAUACUGUAAGUACAACUUGAUUGCUGAUGGCAAACUGAUGAAUCGGUGCCGCCAGCCGACGGCCAUCUUCUUUUAGCAGAACACUAAUUAGUAAUUACAGUAUCGCAAGUUCGCAACACAGUGACGAAAAGAACCGUUCGAUAUAUAUAUAGCAGGUAAACCAGCUAGUUCGUCAACAGAGAGGACAAAGUAGCUUGCAUCUGAAGUGUAAUCAAGCUUCAGAAGAAGCAGUCUUCAGUUCACUUUUUACGUGGCUAUGAAAAUUAGUGCUAUAUAUCCUUUCCCUUUUAAAUUUAUAUGGAAGGUGAAGGUUCCAUUAAAAACUAGUGUGUGUUUAUGUAAUUUAAAGAGGAGGGGAUGGCGUGUAGAAGUAGUUUGCAAGGUGAAUUUUGUGAUGAAUUGGUAGGAGAGCUCCCAUCAUUCUACCAAGAUAGAAAUUUUUGACGCAAUGCCAAGGUAGAAAUAAAACAAACUUUACAAAAUUUGCACCAACGACAGAAACGAGAGUCUUAUAAAAAUGGCCAAACUUAAUUUACAACAUGUCCAAACUUCUGAAAAUUCUGUGGGUUCUGAAAAUUAAAUGGCCUCUCACAUCUAUGAUGAAGUUUGAUCAGUCAAAGAGGACUUCGGUAAUGGUAGGCUUUGAUGCCAUCUGCUGGGCCAAAUGGAAGACUCCAAAUGAUACUGUUUUAUAGAACAAACUGGUAUAUAGCUCUAUCCUCUAUGGGACCAUUUGAAAAGACAGACUCGUCAAUGAUACAACAAACUAGCAUAUAAUCCUUUUGUCUUGAUUGAUCCUAUUUGUAUUGGAUCAAAUCAUAUGGCCUACAUUUGGGACAGGGUGAGUGGAUGCAGUAUGUCAAUUUGCUUCUCCUUGGUAUCUAAGGUUCUGAGUAUUUGGUUCUAGGAGAUGUUGAUGAGGUCUUCAUCUGCCCCUUUUCCUUUUAUUUUUUAAAGAUUAUCUUGCAAGAGAUGUUUUUGUCAGUUUCGUUAAUGAAUCUGGGGAACAACACAUGUUAAUGCUGUCAAAAAAAAUCAUAUAACUAAAUAGAAUGAGAGGAUAUCCCCUUAUAAAUUAAAGAACGAAAAUAUAAGAUAUGUAGAUUUUAUUUGUUGGGCCAACUAACACCACACAUAUGAUGGGCCAUAAAUAUAUGGAAGAUAGGACAACGGGGCCGAGUUCCCAUACGAUGGGGAUGUAAAGUGGACUUUUUCCAUGGUUCGGCCACCGUCGCCGACUCGCUGUGGCCACGGCCCGUCGUGGCGAUCGAGGGAAUCGCGGCGCUUCUGUAUCUAGGGUUAGCAUGCGAGCAGUCCUCAGCGCCAUCGCCAACCACGUCGGAGCGGGAGGCGUUGCCGCCUUGCCGGAUGAUAUCUGAUGGCCGUUCUGAAGCCUCGCGAAGUCGCCGUUGGCGAAAUCGGGGUGGUCGUUGACUCGUUGCAGCUCGUCAUUGCCGACGCAAAGUAGGUCAGCGCAGGAAGGGAGCAAGGUCCAAGGGGGUAGUUUUCCUCGAAGUCCACGCUGGGAAUUUCGGCUGAAGAUCCGAAUGUUCGUCGUGUCUGCAAUUUCCAGUGAAGUUCACCCUCCGAAUCACAACUGAAUCACGCAACCAUUUUGUGGUUUUCUUCCAGUACAGUGUCCGCCUCUCUCUCUCUCUCACCCUGUUUCCUGAAAUUUCUCCUCUUGCAGCUCUAGUUGAGGCUGCUCGUCAAUGCGAAAUGCUUUGAUGACCACGGCGCGCUUGGAUCUCCUCUAGUGGCCUAAUUCAGCUUCCUCUCCUUGCCGUGUCGAGAUCUUCUAUCCGUGACUGUAAGUACUGAACUACUCACAUCCAUUGCGUUUUGACAAAUUGACCCUUUUCAAAAACUUAUUUCGAAACUAACCUCUGCCAAAAACUUCAACCAAAAAUAAGCCGUCGGCUCAGCGCCAAGGGUCUUGGCGCUGAUGUUGUGCAUGAAAGCGCCAACAUGCUUGGCGCUGACAUUGUGCCACCGUGGCGGCCGAGCGACUCCUCGUGCCGACGUGGCAGGGAUGUCAGCGCCACAAGCUUCAGCGCUGAGAUGCCCGAUGUCAGCGCCAAAGAAUCUUGGCACUUCACUUUGUUUCUUUGGUGGCUGCUGACAUUGCCUAUUUCAGCGCCAACUGAUAUGGUGCUGAUGUUUGUUGUUUCAGCGCCAUUUGUGUUGGCGCUGAGGAUGCAAACACUUUGAGCCAGCACAGCAAACUGCUCUCUGCCCAGGAAAAAUACAUUUAACACCGCAUAGCAACCUAUUUCAGCAGCACAGGAACACAACUUUUAGAAACCAUCCAUCCAUUCCAGCCAUUCCAUCCAUCCAGUCUGGGGAGCCGUUCCAAGCGCCACUCCCGCGUCGUUGACGGUCCGCAAGAGCUCUUGUGCCUGUAAGGUUAGAAAGUGCAAAAAGUCACAAAAAUUAAAGCGAGAGCGUGCAAAUAACAUAACAUGGCAAGUACUCACCACUCUAUCGCGAAGAGGUCCUGUCUCAACCGUGGUACCUUCACGGGUUCGAGUGUCGUACUCGUUCUGCUCCUCCACAUCUUCAGGGUCGUCCGCUAUGUCGGCUAGCGUCCAGGCCGGGCGUAGGACAAGACGAUAGUUCCUAUGGAGCCACGCCAAGUAUGCAUCGAACUUCGUCCUGUUGUGCUGACCUUGGUCCGGUACUCCGUUCUCAUCGAAUUUCUCCCAUUGCGUGAUAUGAUCUUGAUGGUAGUAAGUCCAAUCAGUCACCUUCUUGUUCUUCCGACGAUCGACCCUGCACAUAUGCAAAAUAGACAAGUCAACAAUUUGAGGAUGGCAUCAAAUCGAUUUGGUCUGUUAACUCAAAGUACUUACUUGUGGAGGUCGAUACUAGUGGAGAAACGGUGCGGGAUUGUUUGAAGCCUCCCGAACUGCCGCAUUAUGCGGUUGCAUAGCUGGAACUCCACUGCAUAGAAGCAAAUCAGUGGGCACCGCAAGGUUUGCAACGUAUCCUCUAUGUGGCACAUAGGGUUGAUGUCUAGCUCGACUACUUCUUGUGCCUCAUAUGGCCUCCACACCACCUGCACCAACACAAUAAACAGUUAGUUAAAUUUUGUAUUAUAGAGUAAGUUACCAUUUUCAUCUACGAUAAAAGGGUUUAGUACUUACAUGUUCUGGCUGAAGGUAGUCCAUCUCGUUUGUGUAGUGGUAGUAGGCCUAAACAGCUAGUUGCAAUGGAGCACUUGUCACGUACGUCUAUCCGCUCGAGAAACCGAUGGAUUCAUCCAUGGCUGCUUCUGCCGCUGCUAUCCGAUAAUCCGUCUACGGCGCUGGGUGCAACGAGCGUACGCGCAGGGCGCGCGCGUGCAGCCUGGUGAGCGUGUGUCGGAACCUGGAGAGGUCGAGGGUGACGUUCUGGCCGCCGAGGUAGACGCGGGCGACGAAGCCCCACCCCUUGUCGCGCUUGGCGGCCUCCGGGUCGGACACCACCACGUCGCGGAGGCCGUACUUGCGGCUCAGCGAGCUCUCGUGCCCCUCCGCGUCGUACUGCUCGUAGUGCAGCCCCAUCCGCGCGG